UACGUAGGGCGCAAGCGUUGUCCGGAAUUAUUGGGCGUAAAGAGCUGCGUAGGCGGCUUGUCACGUCGAUUGUGAAAGCCCCGAGGCUUAACCUCGGGUCUGCAGUCGAUACGGGCUAGCUAGAGUGUGGUAGGGGGAGAUCGGAAUUCCUGGUGUAGCGGUGAAAUGCGCAGAUAUCAGGAGGAACACCGGUGGCGAAGGCGGAUCUCUGGGCCAUUACUGACGCUGAGGAGCGAAAGCGUGGGGAGCGAACAGG
rnacentral:rRNA from 1 species